rnacentral:lncRNA from 1 species
AUGUUCAAGCUGGUUUUAGAAAAGGCAGAGGAACCAGAGAUCAAAUUGCCAACAUCCGCUGAAUCAUCGAAAAAGCAAGAGAGUUCCAGAAACAUCUAUUUCUGCUUUAUUGACUAUGCCAACGCCUUUGAAUGUGUGGAUGACAAUAAACUGUGGAAGAUUCUUCAAGAGAUGGGAAUACCAGACCACCUAACCUGCCUCUUGAGAAAGCUGUAUGCAGGUCAGGAAGCAACAGUUAGAACUGGACAUGGAACAACAGACUGGUUCCAAAUAGGAAAAGGAGUACAUCAAGGCUGUAUAUUGUCACCCUGCUUAUUUAACUUAUAUGCACAGUACAUCAUGAGAAACGCUGGGCUGGAAGAAGCACAAGCUGGAAUCAAGAUUGCCAGGAGAAAUAUCAAUAACCUCAGAAAUGCAGAUGACACCACCCUUAUGUCAGAAAGUGAAGAGGAACUCAAGAGCCUCUUGAUGAAAGUGAAAGAGGAGAGUGAAAAAGUUGGCUUAAAGCUCAACAUUCAGAAAACAAAGAUCAUGGCAUCCAGUCCCAUCACUUCAUGGGAAAUAGAUGGGAAAACAGUGGAAACAGUGUCAGACUUUAUUUUGGGGGGCUCCAAAAUCACUGCAGAUGGUGAUUGCAGCCAUGAAGUUAAAAGACACUUACUCCUUGGAAUGAAAGUUAUGACCAACCUAGAUAGCAUAUUCAAAAGCAGAGACAUUACUUUACCAACAAAGGUCCAUCUUGUCAAGGCUAUAGUUUUUCCAGUGGUCAUGUAUGGAUGUGAGAGUUGGACUGUGAAGAAAGCUGAGUGCCGAAGAAUUGAUGCUUUUAAACUGUGGUGUUGGAGAAGACUCUUGAGAGUCCUUUGGACUGCAAGGAGAUCCAACCAGUCCUUUCUAAAGGAGAUCAGUCCCGAGUGUUCAUUGGAAGGACUGAUGCUAAAACUGAAACUCGAGUACUUUGACCACCUCAUGCGAACUAUUGACUCAUUGGAAAAGACACUGAUGCUGGGAGGGAUUGGGGGCAGAAGGAGAAGGGGAUGA